ensembl:lncRNA MIR924HG MIR924 host gene
GAACGGCAGGCGGGAAGUGCUCUAGCAGGGGAGUCUGACCUUGUGAGGGAAUACCUGUGUCCCCCCUUUUUUCCCCUUUUUACCCAAUAAAACCCUGCCUUACUCACCCUUUAAAUCAUCUGCGAGCCUGAAUUUUCAUGGCCGUGGGACGGACAAGAACUUUAUCUUCAGCUGAACUAAGAAAAAGUCCUGCAACAUUUUUGGCGCGCAAUGUGGGGGCACCAGAAGCGGGCACCGUUGAGCUGUUGCAACUGUUCUGCUGGUAUCAGAUGGUCUUUGAGCUCAGAAAACUCAAGCAUGGCGAUUUUAAGCCAAGCACAGUGAGUAGCCGCAUACAAAGAUGGAAGCAAAUCUGGAAGAAAUAUUUGUACCUUCAGCUGCCUUGGUGGGAAAGACAACGUUAUUUUCAGGAGCCUUAUGUAUGUGGUUGAAACCACCUGUACUACUGGAAUGAAAGCACCUUUACAGAAGAGGCAAUGCAAGUUGUAUUCAUCACAUGUGUAGAAUGAAUUAAGAUUUAUGCCAGUUGCAAAGAAGAAUAUUGGCUCACUAUUUUUCCUCUGGGCAUAAAGAGACCUCAAGUAAACCUCCAGCAGCCAUCUGGACUUCCAUGAAAACAGAACAAUCAGUGAGAUGCAGAGCUUGGAGGAGACAGUUUCCAUAGACUGAAGCACGUGCUGAAGCAAAGUUCACACUUGCAGGAUUAGAAGAGGUUGACCGAAAGAAGGAAGGACAUGGACAGCUAUGUUGUUGUGGAGUCCUGUUUUAUAGUCAUAACCUUGAGUCAAGUGAGUUUGUCUGGACAGACAGAGCUUGUUGCCUUUACUUAUAGGGAAGGCACCGGACACAGACAGCCUCAAGGACAUUUGUUCUAGCCUUUCAGUAUCCUUUCUCUUAAUUAUCUCACCUCAUCCAUGAAGCUGGUAUGUACGAUUUUUCCUUUCUUUCUCAAUCCUUUAAAAAAUUAAAGCUCUAAAUCUCAUUUCCACUUAGAUUUUAAUGUUGCAUUGUAACUUAAGAUAAAACCUUGCUCUGAUGUUAAAAAUACUAAAGUAAGAAGCAAUAUGGCAUAGUGCUUAUGAGCAGGACUACAUAGUUCUUUCUGAAUACAAAUCUCAGAUAAAACACUAUCUCAGUGAUCAACCAGGUUAAGCAACCUUUUUAGUGCCUCAAUUAUUCCAUUUGUAAAAUUGUAAUAAUGAUAGUACUAACCUAUAAGAUUGUGGUGAGGAUUAAGUCAGAUAAUACAAAAGAAGCAUUUAGAGUAUUUCCUGGCAUUAUCUACCAUUUAUUGAAUUUUUAUGGUUAAGAAGAAUAAGGAAAAGCAGAAGAAAAGGAAAAGAGAAAAAA